rnacentral:lncRNA from 1 species
CCAGCCUGGGCAACAAGAGCAAAACUCCAUCUCAAAAAACAAAAAAACAAAAAACCAAAAAUUAGCUGGGUGGGGUGGUGGUGUGUGCCUGUAACUGCAGCUACACGAGAGGCUGAGGCACGAGAAUUGCUUGAACCUGAGAGGCAGACAUCACAGUGAGCCGAGACGGCGCCACUGCACUCUCGCCUGGGUGACAGUGAGACUGAGUCUCAAAAAAAAAAAAAAAAAAAAAAAGUGAUGAUGUUUGACCUACGGUUUCCCCUGAAGUGUGACAAAAUCUCACUUGAGUCUGCUAUCCCAACAGACAGACUCUGGACAGAGUGAGGCAUAUUAAGUAUGAGGCUCUUUAUGAAAUGGAGGGCCUAUGAGUGCCACCUUCUGGAGUAAAGGAUAAAACUUAAUGCAAUUUUGCCAGUGACCGGGAUGAAAAACAGAAGGCAUGCAUAUCAUAUUUGUGGACGGCAAGGAGUUAGUAGGAAUUGCAACAUUCUCAGUGUGCAGAAUGAGGAUUCAAAUAGUCAGGAAUGGUAAACUCCAGCUUAUUAAAUUUUAUUGAAUUGAAAUUCAAUAGUAAUAAGUCAGAUUCUGCCUUUGGGUUCAAAAAGUCAACUCUUCAUAGAUAAAGUAGGAAAGAUGUAGAAUUUUUAGAACUAGGGAGGCACUCUGCUGACAGCACCCUUCCCCUGCAUCAAGUUCUGUCUUAAGUGCCAAACUUUAAGGGCAUUAUCAACAAAUGAAUAUAUUCAGAGGAGUGAUCUGGAGGGUGAAGGGACCUAAAAUUUUGUCAUGUAGAAACUUCUGAAGAAUCAGCAUUAAGCCCAGAUAAUAAAGACUCAGGGAAAACAAAAUUAUAGUCUAGAUAUACUGUAUUAAUGGACUGAAGGGAGAAAAUUAGGGCCAGUGGAUGGAUACUGCUUGUAUUAAUUCAGAAUGUAGUAUCCCUCAGAGAUUUAAGGAAGGGGUGUUGUGCACUGGAAAAAAAUACUGGUUUCCAAGUCAGGCAGACCUUGUUUAAUUCCAGACUCUUGACAAAGUUUUAUGUCAGUCUUAGUUUUCUCACUUAAAAAUUGUAGUAAUAUGUAUUCUGCAAAGUUUGGAAACGUAAUGUAGCAAGGUCUGUAAAUCACUUUGCAGCACCUCACCUAAGAGCGUCUAUGGUUGAUUUUAAAUUGGGUAUUCUAGGUCAGGUUUGGCAUACUUUCUUUCUUUCUUUUUCUUUUCUUUUGAGGCAGAGUCUCACUCUGUUGCCUAGGCUAGAGUGCAGUGGCGCAAUCUCGGCUCACUGCAACCUCCACCUCCCGGGUUCAAACAAUUCUCCUGCCUCAGCCUCCCGAGUAGCUGGGAUUACAGGCACACAGCACCACGCCCGGCUAAUUUUUGUAUUUUUAGUAGAGAUGGGGUUUCACUAUGUUGGUCAGGCUGGUCUCGAACUCCUGACCUCAUGAUCCACCUGCCUCAGCCUCUCAAAGUGCUGGGAUUACAGGUGUGAGCCACCGUGCCCGGCUCAAGGGUUGGCAUACUUUCUGUAAAGGGCUAGAGAAUAAAUUUUUCAGGUUCUGCAGGUCUCUAUACAAUGAUACCACUCCAGUUCUAUUGGGAAAGCAUCCAUAGACAAUGAUCAUGGCUGUGUUCCAAUGAACCUUCUUUUGUGGACACUAAAAUGUGAAUUUUAUAUAAUUUUUGUGUGUUGUGAAAUAAUUAUCAAAUCUUUUUCAAGCAUUUAAAAAUGUAAAAACAGCUGGGCGUGGUGGCUCAUGCUUGUAAUCCUAGCACUCUGGGAGGCCAAGGCUGGUUUUGAACUCCUGACCUCAAGUGAUCCGCCCGCGUCGGCCUUCCAAAGUGCUAGGAUUACAGGCGUGAGCCACCACGCCCAGUCUGACAUGGAACUUCUAAACAGUGAUGCUACGUAACAGGCCUGGUUCGCUGGAGAUAAGUAAGAGGGGAUAAAAAUAGUUAACCUUACCUAUCUGAUUGGCAAAAAUUCAAAAGCUUGAUAGGGAGUCUAUCUGAGCCUGGGCAGGUUCUGGAAGCUGCCCAAUUUAAAAAAAACAAUGGCGCCUGGUGCGGCGGCUCACGCCUGUAAUCUCAGCACUUUGGGAGGCCGAGGCAGGUGGAUCACGAGGUUAGGAGUUCAAGACCAGCCUGACCAAC